rnacentral:rRNA from 1 species
UACGAAGGGGGCUAGCGUUGCUCGGAAUUACUGGGCGUAAAGCGCACGUAGGCGGCUUUGUAAGUAAGAGGUGAAAGCCUGGAGCUCAACUCCAGAACUGCCUUUUAGACUGCAUCGCUUGAAUCCAGGAGAGGUGAGUGGAAUUCCGAGUGUAGAGGUGAAAUUCGUAGAUAUUUGGAAGAACACCAGUGGCGAAGGCGGCUCACUGGACUGGUAUUGACGCUGAGGUGCGAAAGCGUGGGGGAGCAAACAGG